UGGCCAUGAAAGUGGUCGCCAAUUCUGUUCCAGUCUGGUAUUUCCCAUGUCCCGUCCUCAGGGAACCAUGGACAAUGUUCAUCUAUUGCCAGAAUCAAUGCAAUUAGAUCACCUUCAGGUACUUGCUGUUUAUUUUCCCGAAGGAGGUGCUGCAUGUCUUUUAAAAAUUGUUUCUGAGGGUUGGAGAGCGCAGAACCCAUGAUAAAAAUAGAAAAAUAGCUACUCACCGGGGAUCCGAAGAUGAGAGGGCGCCUUGAGCCACAGCCGGGCGGGUGAGUAGCAGGGAGGAGCGUCUUUGACAGCACGCGUCCUGGAAGCCGUUCAGGCCUCACACGGGGCACCAUUUGUCGGGGAACCAGCCCACCAGGUGCGGAGGAAAAUAACGAAGAGUCAUGGGUGAAGGUUUAAGCAAGGAGUGAGCUCUCUCUCCCAGCAGCCUUGCAUGUUUAUUAGCCUUGCGCACAUUACAUCAUGUUGCAUAUACACGUGUAGCACUCGGGUGGAAAACAGCUAGGGUUUGCAUUUCUUAGAAUAACUAUUCUCUACCAGGACAUAACUCCAGACAGCAUGACAGCCGCGUAAGCUUUGCGGUUAGGCAGCGCGACAGUGACCCAGGCGUGUGGGGGGAACAAGUCAGCAGAGUCAGCAGAUGUUUCCUCUUGCACAAUCUUGCACAAGGGUGCUAUUUUUCUAUUGCAUCCCCACAUGUGUGACUGGCUUCCUCUUCCUCUUCCUCUUCUAUUUCUUCUUCUCUUUAUUUUUUCUGGUUUCUUAUACACUUCAGUCCAAACCCUUUUAUCCAAUACAAAUAGUAUCUCUGACAACCCAGCAUUCCAUUGGUCUUUAACUAUGGACCAAUGGGUUCAAAUGGAAUGCCUAGUAAAGGACUUAUCACAACCUCACCUUUUCAAUUCUACUGUUCUCUAUAAAAGCUGGUCUCUGAUGCCAACUGGCACAUAUCAUACUACCUCACAACACCCAUAGUCAACCAUUUAGUAACUGCUCCAGUCUUUUUCUUUUCUUUUUUUUGAGAAUAUUUUUUUAUUGACCAACCAAUCACAUCAAAUCAAACCAAAUUACAUAAAUUCCAAAUUACACAGCCGAAUUUUAAAUUUUUGUUGGGGGUACCCAUAUUUCAAGUUCCGAAGGGAUCCAAUCAACUUCUUGCUUCUUACUGCUGUUUUAAUGUCCACAAAUCUAACCUUAUGAUGUUCACAGUACUAUCCAGUCCUUUCUUAUUAUUUUUCCACCUCUCUUGUUGUUAUUUUCAUAUAUUUUUCCUUUCUCUUUGUGACCUCUGAUAAUCUCCACAAGCUGGUUAGAACAGUUUGUAAUCCUGCAUGGAUAUUUUUUUUUUAAUCCAGUAGCCAUAUCCAGACGUUUUCCAUAUAACAUCACUUCCAUACAUCAAAACAGUCUUAGCAUCAUUAAUCUUCACCAAUCUGCCUCCUUUCUCAAAACCUCUGAGGAGAUUCACUAGGAAUGCAGUCUGAAAACAAAUCCCUUCUUCCUCCCGGCUAUAAAUCCUUUGGCAAGAUGGCGACUCCGAAUUAAUUGCUGCGCCAUUCCCAAAAGCUCUUAUUGCUUCUCGGUCUCCAUAAAGCAUACUUUUGGUUAAAGUUUAUCUCCACACAGACCUUAAUCAUCCUGCUUGGGUCAGUUCAACCGACGGUUCUAAUGAGGAGGGGUUCUUGUAAAUCACAUAGAAGGAAAGUAAAAAAGGUUUUCUCCCCCCAUUCUGCCCCGUUGUCAACAUACCCCGCCUUUGGUGUAUCUUCAUUGUAAAAUAUUCCUGUUUCUCCAGCCCGUCGUCUUCUUUCGCAGAGGUCACUUAAAUUAGCAGACUUCACCCCCUUCUUCACUUGAAAUAUGUGCAGUUGCUUCUUUUGUAAUUAAUUAUUCCAAAUUGCUGCAACUAGUGCGCGAUCAGAGACAGCGUCCAGGAGAGCCGAUGUCCACAGGGGGCAUUCUGCCUAGGGCCCUCACCCCCUUCUUUCAAAUUAGGGGGUGAUUUAUGGGCACAGCAGGCAAGGGCAGUGUUCCCCAUUUCCUUGGGGCAACAAGGGAGGCUGCCUACUCCCAUAACAGCCUCUUAAUUACCCCGUGUGGGUUGGAGAGAUGGUAUUGUCGGCCAUCUUCCAAUGCGCCCCCUAGUGGCCCCCCUUACUCCAGUCUUUUUCUUAGCAGAUCGCCAACUGAAGAACACCUAUCUAAUGUGUUUCUUAGGCCUCAGGAGUAAAUCUCCUAUGUCCCCCUGCCUCAUAUCAUUGGCUAAUUAGAAACCAAGCAGUUUUCAUAACAGAACAACAUCCACUUAUGUAACUUUGGCAUCAUGAUGUUAUGGUUCCACACACUCCUCAAAAAGUAAUAUGAAAAUCAGCUCCAAUUUAGCAUUCAACUCCUAAGGCCCUUUCAGUGUUAUCCUAUCUUUAUGGGAACAGCUUCCACAUCGCUCAGAUUACAUUUAGAUGACCCAACCAUAUGGAUGUGGGUUGAUUGUAUUGACACUUUUCCCUCUAUGAAGUGCCAGUUUCAUGGUUGAAGCCAAUUCAGUCAGCCCCCACACAUGGUUAGGGUUGUUGUUGUUGUUUAAUUACCUCAGGGGCAUCCAGAACAGCUUCAGUGCUGCUAGCAUACUGUUUAAUGGGAGUCUCUGAAAAAUUCUGUUAAAAUGGUCUAAUCUGAUGUUUGAAAUUUUAACAUUCUUGCUCAAGAGUACGUCAUGGAAUCAAAACAGCAAUCAUUCCUGCUCUCUGCUCCCCACAAAGUACUAAGAUAAAACUUGAACAAUAAAUAAACAGGUUUUGUUAUAGAACUGUUAAUAGUUCUUUAUUUUAUGUUUGUGCCUAUUCUGAAAUUUGUAUAGACACUCCAAGAACCAGAGAGUUUUCAUUUCUCCCUCCCUGCAUUCUUGUUGAUUAAAUUAACAAGUUUAGGAGACAUUCUAGGUGCUGACCUGAAGAGAAAUCAGGUGGCCCAUGAUGCCUUAAUUCUUUUUGAUGUAUGAGAUGAUAAAGAAUGCACUGCUGACAAUAGAAAUCAUUGUCUCCUGACAGAAAAGUCUCCAUGUAAUUGAAACUUGACCUGAAUCAGAGUGAUUGGAAAAGAGGGAGGUAGUUCACUGUUACCAAAUUGUCCCAUAAAUUUCUUGAAUGGGUUGACCUUUAUCUAUUUUGAAACUGUGUUACAUUUCCCAUUGCGCCACUGAUUAAGCAUAAAUUUAUGCUCCAAUUUCUGCGUAGCAAGGUUGGGAAACCAAAUGCAUCCAGCUGAAAUUUGCCCAAGCUGUAUCUCUACAGGAAUGCAGAAGCGGCACAGAAAAUGCCUGAACUGUUUAGUGGAAUAUAUACAAAUCACUAAAGUUAAAGACAAAAGUCUCUCCUUGGACCUGCAAAAAUCUUUUUUAUUCACAUAAAGCAAAAUUUCAGAAUGCAUUUGAUGGUUCUUGUUCCGAGUGCUGGAAGAACAAGGGGAGAACAUGAUUUUAGAAACAAACAGAAAGAUACAGAAAUUUAAGAUGAGGGCAGAAAUGGAAUGGAAGAGAAUGAUGGGUAAAAAUAUGUGAACGUGAUGAAGACCGGAAAUUCAGAGAUUCAUCCAUUUCUAUUUGUUGGUGUUUCUACUCAGCAGUUUAGUCCAUCUUACGGAAUAUGUCAAUGUAAAACUAGAGACCUAUUUACUAACAGCCUCAAAGAUUACAUAGUAAGCCAAAACUGGAACAUAGGCAGCCUGCUUCAUUUAAGAGAUGGGUUUUCAGGAUAUUACCACUAAAAAUAAUUGGGUAAUCUUAAUGCAUCUAUAUGAAGGCAGGCAAGAACAACAAAUAUUUGUUUAUUCAUUUAGGGUUUUUUAUAUUGCCUAUCUGGCCCACAGGUCUUGCCAAAACAAUUCACAAGUAAAAGCAUAAAAACAAUUUUAAACUCCUACCUCCCCACACUUUUGGGAACCUAUAUUGGACGGUACCUGCACCACAGAGUUCUCCUUUGGCUGGAGUUGUUACUUUAAUCAAAAGUUCAAAAGGAAUCAUUCAGUUAUUUCUCAGAACUGGUCUACAUGCCAUUCAUAACCGCUUCGUAUUUCUUAAGAGUUGUCCAUAAAGUCUGUGUCAUCAUUUUGAACAAAGUUGUACAUACUAAACAUCUUAAUUUUCUUUUGUUGCCUUUGGGGCAUAUUUUUCCCAAGUGUUCUCUUGUGUCAUCUUUUAUGCGAUUUCUUAUCUAGAACCAAAUGCGUUCAACAUUUUUCUACCUAUUAAGUUGAGUUCAUUGAUAGUCAUUCUUUCUCCAUUACAGAUGUUGAAAAAAAUUGGUUCUGUUCACAUUUCAGUGUGAACCUAAUUUGCACUUCCCCUAACAAUAUGUGGAUCAAAAUUCAGACAUCCUUCAAAAUGUGCAUUUCUCUGAAUUUUACGAGGCACUUCUUCCCCCUUCCAAAGAAUGGGUACAAAAUGCAAAUGUUAAGGGAGCAUAUUUAUAAAAAUACAUAUAUUAGUGAAAUAGCAUACAAAAGUGCAUUAUAUCAGGGAAGAUGAAAUCCGCACUCAGAUAGUGAUAGUUUGAAGGCCUUUUUUUAAAGAGCAAAAUGAUGCAGAAAUGUGGCAAAUUGAAACUUAACAACUGAAAAAAAGAGAAACUUAAAUGGAAAGAUUCAUCCAUCUCUAGUCAUGAUCAAUUCUUCUUCUCUGAAAGGCCCAGAUGAAAAAAAAAAAUGAAGAAACUGAUAAACCAGAAGGUUAUCACACCCAGAAAUUUGUUCAUUUAUUUUUCUUCAUACAAAAAUUUAUAUCCCACUUUUCCCUUCAAAAAACAUUCACUUCAGAGCUGUUAGCAGAGCAUCAAAACACACAGAAAAAUAAAAAGCAUAAUUCAUCACUAAAACAGAUUAUUAAUAACAAGGGCGAAAAGCAGCAUCAAUUGACAAAAAGCACAAGAGACAGAGGUAAUGAUAAAUAAAUUAAGCAGCAGCAUAACCAGAGGCAUGCAACUCAAUGGCACAUGCAAAAGGGCUGCCGCGGGAGUUCUUAAAGG